rnacentral:rRNA from 1 species
CACGUAGGGUGCGAGCGUUGUCCGGAAUUAUUGGGCGUAAAGAGCUCGUAGGCGGUGUGUCGCGUCGGCCGUGAAAACCUGCAGCUUAACUGUGGGCUUGCGGUCGAUACGGGCAUCACUGGAGUUCGGCAGGGGAGACUGGAAUUCCUGGUGUAGCGGUGAAAUGCGCAGAUAUCAGGAGGGAACACCCGGUGGCGAAGGCGGGUCUCUGGGCCGAUACUGACGUGGAGGGAGCGAAAGCGUGGGGAG